UACAGAGGUCCCGAGCGUUGUUCGGAUUCAUUGGGCGUAAAGGGUGCGUAGGUGGCGCUGUAAGUCGGGUGUGAAAUCCUGAGGCUUAACCUCGGAACUGCAUUCGAUACUGCGGCGCUUGAGGACUGGAGAGGAGACUGGAAUUCAUGGUGUAGCAGUGAAAUGCGCAGAUAUCAGGAGGAACACCGGUGGCGAAGGCGGAUCUCUGGGCCGAUACUGACGCUGAGGAGCGAAAGCGUGGGGAGCGAACAGGA
rnacentral:rRNA from 1 species